GCCGGGUGUGGUGGCGUGCACCUGUAAUCCCAGCUACUCGGGAGGCUGAGGCACAAGAAUCACUUGAACCCAGGAGGUGGAGGUUGCAGUGAGCCGAGAUCACCCCACUGCUCCAGCCUGGGUGACAGAGUGAGACCCUGUCUCAA
rnacentral:SRP_RNA from 1 species